rnacentral:rRNA from 1 species
UACGAAGGGGGCUAGCGUUGCUCGGAAUCACUGGGCGUAAAGCGCACGUAGGCGGCUUUCUAAGUCAGGGGUGAAAUCCUGGAGCUCAACUCCAGAACUGCCUUUGAUACUGGAGAGCUUGAGUCCGGAGGAGGUGAGUGGAACUCCGAGUGUAGAGGUGAAAUUCGUAGAUAUUCGGAAGAACACCAGUGGCGAAGGCGGCUCACUGGUCCGGUACUGACGCUGAGGUGCGAAAGCGUGGGGAGCAAACAGG